UACAGAGGUCCCGAGCGUUGUUCGGAUUCAUUGGGCGUAAAGGGUGCGUAGGUGGCGCUGUAAGUGGGGUGUGAAAUCCCGGGGCUUAACUCCGGAACUGCAUUCCAUACUGCGGUGCUUGAGGACUGGAGAGGAGACUGGAAUUUACGGUGUAGCGGUGAAAUGCGUAGAUAUCGUAAGGAGGACCAGUGGCGAAGGCGGGUCUCUGGACAGUUCCUGACGCUGAGGCACGAAGGUCAGGGGAGCAAACGGG
rnacentral:rRNA from 1 species